ensembl:misc_RNA Y_RNA Y RNA
GGCUGGUCUGAGUGCCAUUGCAUUUACAACUAAUCGAUCAUAACCAAUUACAGAUUUCUUUGUUCAUUCUCCAUUCCCACUGCUUCACUCGACUAGCCUUAA